GGUCCUUCCUUCGCGGGGCUCCUCCCACCUGCAUACAAGGGCCUUGGGAGCCCUGGGCUGUAACCUGUACCUUGGCUUCCCCGUGAAGGCCGGUCUCUUCCGCCAGGCCCUGGCUUUUCCCAGCUGAGGCAAUCGUUGUUCUAGAGACUUCUUUCCCCUUUGUAACAGAUAAGAUGUUUUUGAAUGAUGCCUGGCUGUGUUUCCUUAUGAUAAGCUGGUUUCUAUUUCCUGAACCCUUUCUACCCCAGGGCAAGGGCAGGAGUCACCUCUGGAAGAAAGAGGAUGUGAUGAAGGGGGAUGGUCUUCAGGGCAGGAAGAGGAGGGGAAAGCCUGCCUUCUUCCUAAGGCCACUGCGGAGAGGCGUGUGGAGCCCAAGGAUGUAGGCAAGGCUGCCACGUUUAACACCCUUGCCCAAGGUCUGAAGCUGACACACACAAGGGAACUGUUCUGCAGAAGAGGCUGCAUUAUCUACCGUCACUGGCAGUAGCAUCCGCCGGCCACACCCCUUCAGCUGAGGUCUCCUGGGGCCAUCUGUCCUCUGCCCCCACCCGAAUGCUGUCUUGUGGGGGCUCAGUUCCUCCUUUUCUACUGCCUCACCUCCACCACUUUCAGGUCCCAUGGAUAAAUUGAAAAAGAGCCAAAAAGAUGAUCAAAUGACAAGAGUGCCGGAAAGCAACAGAAGAGCGUGGCACACAGUUUGAAGUGAUCAUGGAAGACAGUGGAAGAGUUUGCAGGGACAGGAGAAGGUUUAAUUCCACAGCCUAGAAUGUCAGAUGUAGGAGAUUUUUGAGAUUUUUCUCUGGAAGCUCCAGAGAAGCUCUUAGCUCAGAGUCAACAAAAGGGAAUGACGUCAUGGCAAUCCAGUCUCACCUCUGAGAGGACUGGUGGCUUUUGAGUUCUUCCCCUGGAAAUUCUUGGAACCCAACUGCCUUUCAGGACCCAGUGGCUACUCUGUGAGAAGCACAGGCUGCAGGGAAAGGUGGAGCAAAGGUGCUGCGGCCAACAGUCCACAGGAGCAUCACCCAUGGGUGGAUAACUCGGCUCAGCCCACUGCUCUCCUAGAGCGGAAGACCCACCGGGCAGAGCAUACUCAGCCCACAGAGGCCCCGGAGAUUAUAGAGUCAUAUGUAAAUAUUUAGAUAUCGCUUGUGCAGAAGAUUGCUGCUGCUGCCGCUAAGUCGCUUCAGUCGUGUUCGACUCUGUGCGACCCCAUAGACGGCAGCCCACCA